UACGUAGGGUGCAAGCGUUGUCCGGAAUUAUUGGGCGUAAAGAGCGUGUAGGCGGCCCGAUUAGUCCGCUGUGAAAGUCCAGGGCUCAACCCUGGAAUGCCGGUGGAUACUGUCGGGCUAGAGUCCGGAAGGGGCAACUGGAAUUCUCGGUGUAGCGGUGAAAUGCGUAGAGAUGUGGAGGAACACCAGUGGCGAAGGCGGCUCUCUGGACUGUAACUGACGCUGAGGCGCGAAAGCGUGGGGAGCAAACAGG
rnacentral:rRNA from 1 species